rnacentral:rRNA from 1 species
AGAUUGAACGCUGGCGGCAUGCCUUACACAUGCAAGUCGAACGGCAGCACGGGGGCAACCCUGGUGGCGAGUGGCGAACGGGUGAGUAAUGCAUCGGAACGUGCCCAGUAGUGGGGGAUAACUAGUCGAAAGAUUAGCUAAUACCGCAUACGACCUAUGGGUGAAAGCGGGGGAUUCGCAAGAACCUCGCGCUAUCGGAGCGGCCGAUGUCUGAUUAGCUAGUUGGCGGGGUAAAAGCCCACCAAGGCUUCGAUCAGUAGCUGGUCUGAGAGGACGACCAGCCACACUGGGACUGAGACACGGCCCAGACUCCUACGGGAGGCAGCAGUGGGGAAUUUUUGGGACAAUGGGCGCAAGCCUGAUCCAGCCAUGCCGCGUGCGGGAAGAAGGCCUUCGGUUGUAAACCGCUUUUGGCAGGAACGAAACGGCGCGAGCGAAUAUCUCGCGUUAAUGACGGUACCUGCAGAAUAAGCGACCGCUAACUACGUG